ensembl:lncRNA
ACAUAACCCCAGAUGGGGAAGCACCAUAUAUUUUGCAAGCUUGUGUUUCUCUAGGUUAGAAAUGAUGAGACUCAGAAGAAAGCUUACUUAUAUCUACCUGGGCUUAUAUUUUCAUAUUGAAAAUUACACAAAUAUUUGGGAAACUCCCCUGUAUAAUAAUGUAGCCUAUGUCUAGCAUAGAAUACUAUACAUGCAUUUAGUAAGAGCGCCGCAAAAUCUAUGAGAGUCAUGAAAAUAGACAGGAUACCUAGACCGCUAAUGUGCUGGGUUGGGGAGAUACACCUUAUGAAAGAAAAGUUCACAAAGUGUCUUGUUACAGUAAAAGUAUUUCCUUUGCAUCAAUACUGAUUUGUGAAGAAUAUCUGGAGGUUAAUGCAUUUGAGAAUACCAAAUAUCAACCAUAAUUAUUAUUUAAAAAUACAUUCUAUGCUAAUUCCUUAGAAAAGCCAGGUAGGGUGGCGUAUGUCUGUAAUUCCAGCACUUUGGGAAGCUGAGGUGGGAAGAUCACUUGAGCCGAGGAGGAGUUCAAGGCCAUCCUGGGCAACAAAGUGAGACUCACCCUGUCUCUGUUAAAACCAAAUUCAGUUCAUUCUUUUUUUUUUCCUUUUUUUCUUUUUAAAGACAGAGUCUGGCUGGGCACGAGGCGAGAGCCACCAUGCCCAGCCUCAGUUCAUUCUUUUAAAGAUGAUUUUAAAAUUUAGAAACAUGAUGUUUCAAAAGUUACUUUUCAAAAGUAACAUUUUUUGCUUACUAUUAAGUAAAUGGAAAGAGCCAAAACAUUUCAUUUUUCUUGUGUAAAUCACAGUCACUUGAAAAUGUGGUUUUGUCUUUUCUUUAUGGCCAUUAAAUAUUUUGUGCACAUAUUACAGGAUUGAUAAUAUUAUAAUAGAUUGAUUUUAGAAAACACUUGACCAGUAAAUUUAGUUUUUAUAAGACUAUUCUUAGGUAAGCACAAACAACCUGUUUUCAAACACUGUGUGUCCAGCUUUACAUACUGUAAUUGGGUUCCAUGGACCCUGCCCUGAGGUUUGAGCGCCCAGGGCACCUAUGGGUUGACAGUGGUGAGCAUACAGUUGCGCCCCAGGAGGGCAGGUGCUUUAUUCUGGAAUAUACUUGAGUGUUGAAAACAGAUUGUUAUUUAUGUUACAUACAUGAAAAAACUCUUAUAAGCCACCACUUUUAAGUUUUGCUUUUAGUGGCUUGUAUUUCACAAGUUUAAAGGGCACUUUAAAAUUUUUUUGGUAAUCACUGGGAUAUGGGCAGAUGUUAUGAAUAUCUUCUUAUGGGAAUUUUCAGACAUAGAGGUCCUUUUAUUGGCACACACUUCUGGCACUUGUGUGAAUUUCAUGAUAAUUCUUGGUCUCUCUGACUGCUCUGAAACACACCAUACUAGGUUUGUACUAUCCUUGCUGGAGCUCCUGUUUUGGAACCUGGGUAUCUCCAACGAUAGCCCAGGAUUCUUGUACUUUACAACCAGCUAGGAAAUUAGAGAAAAAACAAACAAACAAACAAAAAGCUAACAGGGUAGAGAGAGAAUAUUGCCGGACUGACUGGCUUCCAUCCCUUGCUGGGUCCCGGAGCCCAGGGCCCCUUGGAGAGGAAGAACCACUCCUCCUGUCUCCUGCCCAGAGGUCUCCCACUUCUCAUCAGUCUCUGGGCUUGGGUGCCUAGGAGUUUCCCUUCUGCCUGUCUUGAGGGCUGAGUAUAUGGACUGCAGGAAGGAGGGGCCGCUUUGCAUCUUCAUGCAAAUGCAAGACUUUCUCUGGAAUUUCCACAGGCCCAUUAUUGCAGAUUAAACAGAAAAGCAAAAUCAGUCCUCACCAUACCAUGGCUUGGCUCUAUUUCUAAUGCACUGCAAGUAUUUUAUCAACAUUGUCUACAUUUUUGUUUGAUUAUUUUAUAUUUAUUCACCAUUUAAUUUAAUAUCACAGAUACUGUUUGUCAUGCGUUUGGCUUUUUUGUUUGUUUUUAACAAAUACUCUUGUACUCAUGGUUUUCCUUGUUCAUGGAGUAAUUCAUUUUGCCACUUCUCUUAACCAUUCUUCCCUAAAAAUACUCCGUUAGGACAGAGAUUCCGUUUGGCCUUUAUUACUUUGGAAUUGCCAAACAGAAGCAGCAGAAACAGAGUUGUACGUGUGGUCCUACACCACAAGGAGUUUUAAGAGAGGUCAUUUGUAGGUGAUGGUUGUCGACACAGGAAGGCUGUCAAUUAAAGAGGAGAAAAUGAGUAAUAUUCAGAUUUACUGGCCUAGAGAUGUUGGCACAGAUUCAGUGUGAGAGAUGUAGCUCUGGCCACAUGUUAAGAACCCUCUUCUGGUAUGGAUAGAAAGCCCUGUCCCUGCCUGGUAUUAGAAAGGUGACAGGUGUUGCUGUCAAAUAUUGAUGCUUUGAUAUCUUCACGUUUCUUAUUGAUAGGCUGACCACGUAAUUUAUUGUCUAAACAGAGAUGGUUUUGAGAGUGAAAGAGGGUGUUACCAGGAAUUAUUCUAGAACAGUAGGGGUAAACUGAGACUGUGUCUGUCAGGCUAGGAUGUGUGAUGACUCGACCUACUGACUGACCACAGUUUCAUAAUUUCAGUACAUAGAGGGUGAAAGUCAUGUGAAGAUAUUUGACUCCCAGUGGUCAUUUUUUUGUGGCUCACGCCUAAGUUGGAUAAAAUGAUGUUUGAUUCAGUCCAGGAUACAUAAAGGCAUGGACAGUUGGCCAAGAAGAGUGGUCACAGGGGUGCUGCUGAGUCAGCAGCUCCUGUCAGUGGUGGUCUGUUUGAAAACAGACCUACAGCGCAUUUGAAGAAGGCCCUCCCUGUAGCCUGGAGUGGCUGAAUCGCUCGUUUUGUGUGUGAGCUAAGUGUGACUUGAGCCAUGAAUCAGGAUUUGUCAGCCCCCAGGACCUGGCUUGCGUCCUACCCUUCUUUACAAGCGCUCAGAAGGGGGUCUUUGUACUCCCCCUACCCCCGCAGAAGCCCGGACCGGAGGGUGGUGAGAAAGCCUUUGUCACCGCCUUCCCGUGUGGAGUGAGGGAACAGUUUUGGUCACAGUCCCCUCCUGCUGCGGGCCAGCACGUUGUUGACUCGUCGUGCCACCCACCGCUGCUUUGGCCCCACCCCCACCUUUGUGGGACUGGUGUCUCAGAAUGGAGAGAGAAAUCCUGUUUGGCAGUUAGGUGCCCUGUGAAUUCUUUACCAUAUGCUAGACUCAAACAUACGGUGAAGUUAGAGGAAUUGUUUUGUAUUUGUUCGACUCAAACAUACGGUGAAGUUAGAGGAAUUGUUUUGUAUUUGUUCUUAAUUACUCUGUAAUACUACGUUACAAUUUUAAAACUAUUUUGAACUAAAAACAUGUUCUUUUUACUUUUUCUGCCCUCAGAAUUCUUCAGUAAUAUAAAGAUUUAAAUAAAAACAAAUCAACAAAACUUUUUUUUUCUUAAAAUCUGGAUUUUUUUUUUUUUUUUUGGUACAGGGUCUCACUCUGUUGCCCAAUUUGGAGCAGUGGCACAAUCACAGCUCACUGCAACUGUGAAUUCCCAGGCUGAAGUGAUCCUCCUGCCUCAGCCAGGCAUGCAUCCCCAAGCCAGGCAUGCAUCCCCAAGCCAGGCAUGCAUCACCAAGCCAGGCAUGCAUCACCAAGCCCAGCUCAGAUUUUGAUUUUUUUUUUUUUUUGGUAGAGGUGCAGUUUCAUUGUUUUGCCCAGGCUGAUCUCGAACUCCUGGGCUCAAGCCAUCCUCCCCCUGUGCUGCAAUUAUAGGCAUGAGCCACCACACCCAGCCUCAAUCUGGAAUUUUACACAUAUUUUAAGUUCAUUUGAUUUUUGAACAUGUAUUGGCUAAAUUAAUGAUUAACUGUCUGGGCACGGUGGCCCAGGUGUGUAAUCCCAGCACUCUGGGAGGCCGAGGUGGUUGGAUCAUCUGAGGUCAGGAAUUCGAGACCAGCCUGGCCAACAUGGCGAAACCUCAUCUCUACUAAAAAAUACAAAAAAAUUAGCUGGGCAUGGUGGCACGCACCUAUAAUUCCAGCUACUCGGGAGGCUGAGGCUGGAGAAUCGCUUGAAUGCGGGAGGCAGAGGUUGCAGUGAGCUGAGAUCACGCCGUUGCACUCCAGGCUGGCUGACAGAGCGGCACUCCUGUCUCCAAAAAAAAAAAAAAAAAAAAGAUUAACUGUAAUAUAGAUGUGGUAAUGCCUAUGCAUUAUAGUCCCUCAUUUCCUGGCACAACCUCUUAAAGUAACUUAGAUCAAAAGCUGGUUACAUGCUGAUAUUUUCAAUCUGUGUGGCCUGAAUUUCCAAACCGAUCAUUAGAUGCUGCCUGGAGCUUCCUAUUCUCAUUGGAUUAAAAAGGAUUAUUUUGAAGGGAAUGGGACAAAAGAAGAUAACUGACUUUACAACUUUUUAAAAAAACUAUGCUGAGUAUUGUGUGAAAUGAAAGCUGUUAGUAUUUUUAAAUAAGGAUUGCUUGCCUUCUAAAGAGUAUAACCUAAAUUGUUCCUUUGUAAGAAUCUCAUUUUUAACUUAAAAAAAAUAAGAAAGGCAGACCAUGUUGUUAGAAGUGUCUGAUCUUUGAAUAUGAACAUACAGGCCAGACACAAUGGCUCAUACCUGUCAUCCCAGCGAGUUGAGAGGCUGAGGUGGGAAGAUCGCUUGAGGCCAGGAAUUUGAGGCCAGUCUGGGCAACAUAGCAAGAUCCUAUUUCUAAAAAAAAAAAAAAAAAAAA